rnacentral:lncRNA from 1 species
UAUCGAAAAAUAAGUUAGGGACUAAUACCUCAAUUUUCCCAACUCAGUCGAUGAGUCAGUUUUUCACCUCUCCCAGAAAAUCCUCUCUCUCUCUCUCUCUCGUUUAUCCAUCUCCACUAUCGCCGACAACCGCCAUUUCCACAAUUCAAAGCUUCCCAUCUUUGCCUUCAGGUAACUCUAACUUCUCUCUUUCCAUUCACAAAGCUGUAAAUCUAUAUAUUAUGGGUUUGCUUUCUUUCUUUUUUCAUUUUCUAUUUACUUGCGUGUAUCAGUCAGAUUUAAGCGACGCGCAUAAUGUUUAUUAGUUCCAUGAUCAAUCCUAUUGUUUUAAAAUACGAUUAAUCUCGAUGUAUUCAUAUGCUAUAUUGAUUUUGUUUUGUUUAUAAUUUUCUGGUUUAAUAUGGUUGGUUUGUGGGCGACAUGAAAUGGGGAUGUCUUUGAGCUCGGAUGGGGAUUAGGGUUUUCCGAAGUAACAUUUUUUAAAUGCUUUAGAGAUUUAUAUUAUUUAUUUUUUGGGAUUUUUGACCGAUUCAGAUGUUUGGUUGCUUGGGAAAUGAAGAUGAUAAGUCCAAUGAAGUGUAAAAUUUUAGCCCACCCUUUUUUCAUGUUGUUGGUCCAAACAAGUAUUAAUACUAAUAAUUUUGAGUAAAUUCCAAGGUUUUGGAUCUCUGUUAACACUUUUAAGUUUCUUGCUUUAUUGAGAAUAGAUAGUCAUUUUGUGCUUUGUUUGACAAAAAGAGUCUGGAAGAAUAUAUCACUUUUUAAGAAUUAAUCAAUAAUAAAUAUAGUUGUGUUCUAUUAGGAAACUCGAGGAUAAUAUGAGCAAUAUAACAAGCAUUUGAACGAGUAGGAAAAAAGAGAAAUUUGAAUUACAUUUUUGGUAGCACUGUUUAGGGUAUAUUGAAUGGACUUUCAAUCAAGCAAAUAAAAUAUUAUGAAUUUAUUAUUGGAUAUUUUUCAUUAUUUGAAACACUAGAUGAUGUUUGAUUCUGACAUAUAAUUAUCAAAUAAUUGUGGAUUUUUUUUUUUUUAAAUUUCAAAUAUUGUUUUGAAAUGUCUAAAAAUAAUUAUAAUGCCCAAGUAACUAUGAUGCACCAUCAUGGACACGUGUGUCCGACAUGAUACGUUUCGUAUAUGUCGACACGUGACUUUUCAAAAAAGUAUCAACAUGACAAGUUGAUUAAAUUCUUUAAUAAUCUUCAUUUAUAUAGUAUAAAUUUAGUUUUAUACUAGUUAUUAAUUAAUUUUUUUGAAAUUUUUUAGAUACGAGUACCUAUUUAUUAUUUACUAAUAACUUUGAGUUAAAAAAUAUAUAAUAUUUUUAAUAAAGAAUAAAAAAUGUUUAUGGUAGAGUGUCCGAGGAGUGUCGGUAUCGAUGUGUCCGACACUUCCAUGCUAUAGAGCCAAGUAACUUCCUCAUCGCUAUAAACGGUGAAGAUGUAUAAGAUGCUAAACAUGCCGCUAUGAUCACCAUUUAGCUACUUCUGGGUUCAACUACAUAUCUUUUACUAAGCAACAUUUUUUACGUAAUUAUCGACUUUAAAGAUAUCAAAGCCUACCCCCCUCAAUUUAAGAUUCUUUGCUUAUAAAAGUUGUUGCCCACACCUAUUAUCCUCCUCCUAGCUUUUUAAGAGCGCUGGAUAUCUUGACAAAUAGUGGAAAACUUGUUCUUGUUGCUUCGGAAAAAUCUUAUAGUUGAAACUUCAUUAUAAUGCCCACUAACAUGCUUAAAGAAGACAUUUCAUGUAAUUAUGUUUUAGUAAAUAACACAAACAUGUGGUGGAUCUUUCCUUGUAGAUAUAACACAUACUGUAAAGGGAAGUUACCAUAGUAAUGACCAUCUGCACUAUUUGCCACAGGAACAUACUUUUGAAAGAACUAAAUCAGGACAUCCCUUGUUGCAAUUUUGAGUUGCAAUGACAGAAGUUGACAGCGAAAUAAUAAAACCUGAGGUACAUUUUACAUGUCAGUUUUNN